AUCAGAAAAAUGACAUGCGCAGAAGAGUCACAACGACAAUAACAACAAACGCCGAAUUUCCAUAACGAAAUGGCUAACGAAAUUGCAUAACAAAUAGCCAUUCUGGAUUGUGAACUGCUGCUCCAUGGUCGUGGACAUAAAACUCUCGACAAGUUUGAUAUAGAGACUGUUUCAGAUGAGUUCUUAUUAACAACAUUUGGAUUCCCUCGAGAUUUCAUCUACUACCUGCUGGAGCUACUGCAUGACACUUUAGGAUUCUAUACCACAGGAUCCUUCCAGAUGAGGAUGGGAGAUGCCAUUGGCAUUAGCCAGGCUUCCAUUGGCAUUAGCCAGGCUUCCAUGAGUCGCUGUGUGACAAAUGCCAGGGGACUUUUGCUCAGUGCAGAGACUAACUGGCCUGGCAGUUUACAGGAUAACUGCAUAUUUCAAGAGUCUUCAGUGUACAAGGAAUUGGAAGAGCAGGAAAAUCACGAAGGCUGGUUAUUAGUUAAUAUAGCUGAUAAUCCUCCAUUUUAAACUUUCAUUGUUGAAAAUACUUUUUUUUAAAUUAUUGUCUUGCUCUUCAAGCUUCCCUCUUUCAUAAUGUCUAACCUAGCCAUGCUUUUUCUUGUAGGAGACUGCCACUAUCCUUUAAAGAAAUGGCUGAUGACACCUGUCUAGUACCCAGAAACUUCAGCAGACUUUCGAUACAACCUGGCUCACACUGCCACUCAUGAGAUGGUGGACCGCACGUUCAGGGCCAUUCAAACUCGUUUCCGUUGCCUGGAUGGGUCCAAAGGCUACCUUCAGUACACACCUGAGAAGUGCUCUCACAUCAUUCUUGCCUGCUGCGUCUUGCACAACGUGUCAUUGCAAUCAGGCUUGGAUGCCUGGAUGUUUGAGAGGACUGAUAUACCAGGCCAGUCAGACGACGGCAGUCGAAAGCCAGAGGCUGUGGACUCUGAGGCAGUCCGAAUCCGCCAGGAGCUCAUUCUUAGUCACUUCAGCUAGGUCUGCAUGCUCAGAAUCAACAGGGAAAACACUAUGCUUCACAGAGACACUGCCUGCAAUAGAGAAGUGGUUGACACCAGAUUCUGUAUAAGCAGAAAGAAAGAUGAUUUUGUGACUAAUAUAGGUUUUAGUAGGUGUAGAUGUACAGUUUCAGAAAGUAUUCAUACAUCUUGACUAAUUGCACAUUUUGUUGUUGGAUUAAAUGUAUUAUUUUUCUCACCCAUCUACACACAAUAUCCCCUAAUGGAAAAGUGAAAACAUGUUUUUAGACAUGUUUGCAAAUUUAUUGAUAAUUAAAUGUGUAUCCUAAAAAACUCUAGUCCUUUCUGAUGACAAGCAUACCCAUAACAUGAUGCAGCCAACAUCAUGCUUGAAAAUAUGGUGGUACUUGGAUUUGUAUGUAUAUGUAAAAUGUAUGUAUAUGUAGCAGAAAAGCAGUAAAAAUGUUUUUAUUUCUCCUCCAAAGAGGGGUGGUGGUGGAGGGGUUAAUACAUGUUUUUUUUUUAAAGCCCUAAUAGCGGACACGGCGGUUGUGAUACAGUCUGGGAUCAAACCAAGGUCUGUAGUGAUGCCUCUAGCACUGAGAUGCAGUGCCUUAGACCGCUGCACCACUCAGGAGUGACUGAGUGUAUUGAUACACCAUCCAAAGUGUAAUUAAAAACUUCACCAUGCUCAAAGGAA